UACGUAGGAGGCGAGCGUUGUCCGGAAUUACUGGGCGUAAAGAGCGCGUAGGUGGCGCGAUACGAGCCGGUGUGAAAUCCUCCGGCUCAACUGGAGGGGGUCACUGGUAACGGUCGUGCUGGAUGAGUGCAGGAGAGGGACGUGGAACUCCGGGAGUAGCGGUGAAAUGCGUAGAGACCCGGAGGAACACCAGUGGCGAAGGCGGCGUCCUGGCCUGCUACUGACGCUGUGGCGCGAAAGCUAGGGGAGCGAACGGG
rnacentral:rRNA from 1 species